rnacentral:lncRNA from 1 species
AAAUAAGGUCACAUUCACAAGUACUGGGGGGUAAAAACUUGAAUAUAUCUUUUUUGGAAGGGCACAAUUCAACCCACAACAUGCAGAGAGAAGAGGGGAGAAGAUCCUCGGCAAGAAAGAUGGUACUGAGGGAGCGUGGGAUUCAAGCUAACUCCCCAAGCAGACUCUUGCCCAGAUGCACAGUACUUGAUGCCAAAGCCACAUGGUCAUCCCACGGGGAAAACUCCCCUAGCACAGACUGGUGAAAAGAUGGAGGGCUUGGGCAUGAAGAGAGCUGGAUUGCCGCUUCAGCUUUGUCUUUCAUAGCUGCUCCCCUGGGUAAGUGAUUUUGUUUUCUCAUCUGUACAAUAAGGCUAGUCUUACCUUUCUCACAAGGUCAUCUUAAACAUUGAUUAAGGCAGCUUC